rnacentral:rRNA from 1 species
ACAUUAGAUACCCCUGUAGUCCCAGCCGUAAACUAUGCGCGUUAGGUGUACUGGUGACCACGAGUCACCGGGGUGCCGAAGGGAAACCGUGAAACGUGCCGCCUGGGAAGUACGGUCGCAAGGCUGAAACUUAAAGGAAUUGGCGGGGGGAGCACCACAACGGGAGGAGCGUGCGGUUUAAUUGGAUUCAACACCGUAAACUCACCAGGGAAGACUGUUACAUGAAAGCCGAGUUGAAGACUCUGCUAGAUUUUCAG